rnacentral:lncRNA from 1 species
GGGUCACUCCACAGCUCCCUUCACCCAGCACUGAAAGUGAAAGAAGACAAAGGGAUGGGAUACAAGCAUUUUCCCCUGACGACAGUGGGGAAACUGAGGCAGGGAUCCAGAGAAAGAUUCAUAAUCUGGUGAAUGCAUCUCUCCAAAGGGAGAGCUGGGUUAGCCUAGCCCCCUGCCUGCUGAAGCCCAGACCUGCCUUCCCCACCAAGCCACAAAACAGCCAUCUCUGCCCACCCUCACCCAGGUGUGUUCCUCUCUUCAUUUAAAAAUGCAGCACAGAAAACAGCCACAGCUAAAGAUCCCCCAAAAGUAAUAGCAGCCCUCCUGAGGGCAGUGGUAGAGCCCAAUGAGCUGCAGCAUGAAAGAUUGUGGGCAGGCUCAAGGAGGGACCUCCUGGGUCAGCACCAGGUGCUCCCUAAAGGAGCAACCACUGAGGAAGGGCAGGGGGCUUGGUGGUACCAAGGGAGGCCAGGUUGGAGCCCAGACCCGCCCAGAGGCAGAGGGAUGACCUGGCUGACUUUCCCAGGAGCUGGAGUUCUCACCCGGGUGCUUACUCCUUCUCAAGCCCCAUCAGUCAUGUUAAUUACCGAGAAAAAAGCCGAUUUCUCCUCAUUCCCAGACUCAAGCGACAGUAUCAUUAGGCUGCUAAUGUGGAGAAAUUGUGCGUGUCUGUCUUGGAACAUGUCCUGAUCCAGAAUGGGUAAGGGCGCCCCAGGCAGGGGCUGGUCUCCAAGAUGCUGCCUGUGACAGAGAGCCAAUCUCUGGAAGAAAUGCUGUGCCAAUCGGCAGAGGUGGUCUCCCUCUCUGUUCAGUGGGCAUCAACGAUGAUAAUUAAAUCACACCAGCCGAUGGCAUGGAUAAACAGUUCACAGCAUGCAAAGCUUGCCCGAUAGGAACAGAGCUGCUCUCAGACUUAUACAAGGACUCAGACCCUCUUGGCUCUGCCAAACUUAAACUCUGGCCUUGAACUCUGCCGCAGCCCUUUCCAGUCUUGCCUGUACCCUUUUCUCUGAGCUCCUGCCCACCUCUGAAUCAAGAGACAUCUGAGCACCAUCUUACCUCUGGGAGGGAGGAACUGGCUAUUUCUUCCCUGAGCAAGGCCAAGUCUCUGCAGUCAAGAAGAAUGCAACCUCCCAGCCCCAGAAUAAUAGCCACUGCUCCAGCCCUUUACAUGCGUCUUCACACCCUUAACCAUUUAAUCCUCAAUCCAACCCACUUAAGACACAAAGAAACUGAGGCCCAGAGAGGUGAGGUCAUCUAUCCAAGUUCAAGUCUCAGAGCUAAGCCAACCCAGAUCUUCCCAAUGCCAAAACUCAGGCUGAAGACAGUCCUCGGCUAAUCCACCCAGCACUCCAGGAACAUUCUCUUUCUAGCUUCUGUCCUCAAGAGCUAAGACAGUACCAGCAUUGAUGAAAAUUGAAAUCUGGGCCACUCUGACUCUGUUGAUGGAAGGGAAAAUUAGAACAACUUUUCUGGAAAACCACUGAGCGGUGGUGUCAAGAGCUUUAAAACAGACAGACCCUCUGGUCCCAUUCAUCUACUUUUAGGAACUCAAUCCAAGAAAUAACCAAAGACGCCAAAAAAGACCCAUGUACAAGGAUGCUUAUUACUGUUAUUUAUAACUGUGAAAAAUCCCAACCAACAUAAAUGUCUAGCAAUGGAGGGCUGGUUAAAUAAAUUAUGAUACAUCCAUAUAUAAGAAUGUUAUGUAAACAUUAAAUGUCAUGUUCUUGAAGAAUUUUUAAUAACCUGGGAAAUACCAUUUUAUAAGUAAAGCACAACAGAAAACAAAACCGUCCAUCUAGGAUGGUCUUGAUUGUAUAAAGAAAACAUUUAAUCAAUUCAUGUAAAGAAAGUCUGGAAGGAAAUAAAUGAGAGUUAAUCUGAGAA